UACGGUGGGGGCAAGCGUUGUUCGGAAUUACUGGGCGUAAAGGGCUCGUAGGCGGCCAACUAAGUCAGACGUGAAAUCCCCAGGCUCAACCUGGGAACUGCGUCUGAUACUGAUUGGCUUGAAUCCGGGAGAGGGAUGCAGAAUUCCAGGUGUAGCGGUGAAAUGCGUAGAUAUCUGGAGGAAUACCGGUGGCGAAGGCGGCAUCCUGGACCGGCAUUGACGCUGAGGAGCGAAAGCCAGGGGAGCAAACGGG
rnacentral:rRNA from 1 species